AGCGAACGCUGGCGGCAGGCCUAACACAUGCAAGUCGAACGAAGUCUUCGGACUUAGUGGCGGACGGGUGAGUAACACGUGGGAACGUGCCUUUAGGUUCGGAAUAACUCAGGGAAACUUGUGCUAAUACCGAAUGUGCCCUUCGGGGGAAAGAUUUAUCGCCUUUAGAGCGGCCCGAGUCUGAUUAGCUAGUUGGUGAGGUAAAGGCCCACCAAGGCGACGAUCAGUAGCUGGUCUGAGAGGAUGAUCAGCCACAUUGGGACUGAGACACGGCCCAAACUCCUACGGGAGGCAGCAGUGGGGAAUCUUGCGCAAUGGGCGAAAGCCUGACGCAGCCAUGCCGCGUGAAUGAUGAAGGUCUUAGGAUUGUAAAAUUCUUUCACCGGGGACGAUAAUGACGGUACCCGGAGAAGAAGCCCCGGCUAACUUCGUGCCAGCCGCCGCAGUAA
rnacentral:rRNA from 1 species